GACGAACGCUGGCGGCGUGCUUAACACAUGCAAGUCGAACGGAAAGGCUCCAGCUUGCUGGAGUACUCGAGUGGCGAACGGGUGAGUAACACGUGGGUAAUCUGCCCUGCACUCUGGGAUAAGCCUGGGAAACUGGGUCUAAUACUGGAUAUGACCUUUCUCCUUAUGGGGUUUGGUGGAAAGUUUUUCGGUGUAGGAUGAGCCCGCGGCCUAUCAGCUUGUUGGUGGGGUGAUGGCUUACCAAGGCGACGACGGGUAGCCGGCCUGAGAGGGUGAUCGGCCACACUGGGACUGAGAUACGGCCCAGACUCCUACGGGAGGCAGCAGUGGGGAAUAUUGCACAAUGGGCGGAAGCCUGAUGCAGCGACGCCGCGUGAGGGAUGACGGCCUUCGGGUUGUAAACCUCUUUCAGCAGGGACGAAGCGUAAGUGACGGUACCUGCAGAAGAAGCACCGGCUAACUAUGUG
rnacentral:rRNA from 1 species